rnacentral:rRNA from 1 species
GAUGAACGCUGGCGGCGUGCUUAACACAUGCAAGUCGAACGAUGAAGCCCAGCUUGCUGGGUGGAUUAGUGGCGAACGGGUGAGUAACACGUGAGUAACCUGCCCUUAACUCUGGGAUAAGCCUGGGAAACUGGGUCUAAUACCGGAUAGGAGCGUCCACCGCAUGGUGGGUGUUGGAAAGAUUUAUCGGUUUUGGAUGGACUCGCGGCCUAUCAGCUUGUUGGUGAGGUAAUGGCUCACCAAGGCGACGACGGGUAGCCGGCCUGAGAGGGUGACCGGCCACACUGGGACUGAGACACGGCCCAGACUCCUACGGGAGGCAGCAGUGGGGAAUAUUGCACAAUGGGCGCAAGCCUGAUGCAGCGACGCCGCGUGAGGGAUGACGGCCUUCGGGUUGUAAACCUCUUUCAGUAGGGAGGAAGCGAAAGUGACGGUACCUGCAGAAGAAGCACCGGCUAACUACGUG